GUCUGAAUUAUGGUCCAUGGGUCGUAAUUCUUACCAAAAUAUCAUAAAAAAUAUUCUACAACCAUUUCAACUCUACAAAGGAAUUAAAAAACUGAGCUCUGAUGCCCUGAUCCAGUGAUCUUCCAACCCUUGCUUGCUUGAGAUUUGCGAAGUUCUAGCUUCGCCCGGGCCUUUCACUUAUGGCCCGGCACUUCCAACCCAUGUGACAAAUUUUGAGGAGGUGGACAGUACUGAAGGAAAUGUAAACAAAGAACCGAGAUGUGGCCAUUGGAAGAUUAUGAAGGAAUGGAGAACUGAGUGGCAAUUCCAUGUAAGGAUUAUGUAUAAUUACAUAAUCCUUGUAUGAAAACAGAUUCAUUCAAUACUGAGUAUUAAAGGCCCAUCAUAGGAGUGCAAGACUGACUGGAGCCACUGGAGCUACAGCCUACGGUACCAUAAACAGAUCACAUAUCUUUCCAGAAACGUAUGAAAAGGAUGUGAUAGCUGUUUCAACUGUUUACAAAGGAUGUUUUGCAGCUUGAUUUUUUAAUUUCCAGCUAGUUUUAAUUGGCAACAGGUGUCAUUACAAACUAUUAUUUUCAGUAAAAAAAAAAAUUGACUAAAGCUUGCAUACUUUAUCAAAUUCUAAAAUAAACAUUGCCUGCGACACACUCUUCACACUGAAGUGCUCUUUACAAUGGUUGUGAUCAAUUUCAAAUCAAAACAAAUUUGAAAAUGGCGGGUGGUACCAUCCACUAGUGCAAAGCCAAAACAAAAUAUUGUUAUCAUAAUUUACAAUUUUACCUUUCAACAUAAGUACUUCAUACUUAGUACACACACUGACCACUGCAUAA